UACGGAGAUGACAAGCGUUAUCCGGAAUUACUGGGCGUAAAGCGCACGCAGGUGGCUACUUAAGUCUGACGUGAAAGCUCCUGGCUUAACUGGGAGAGGUCGUUGGAAACUGAGUGGCUUGAGGCGAUGAGAGGGGUAUGGAAUUCCCGGUGUAGUGGUGGAAUGCGUAGAGAUCGGGAGGAACACCAGUGGCGAAAGCGAUACCCGAGCAUUAGCAUGACGAUCAUGUGCGAAAGCGUGGGGAGCGAACGGG
rnacentral:rRNA from 1 species